CAGUACGAUGUCGUCAAGCGCUUCGACAUGGGCCAGUCCCCCACCACCGACGAGGCCCAGGCGAUCGCCGACGAGGUGUACUCUGAGUUUGUCGGCGAGGAGGUUGACAAGGUUGAGCUCGUGUACUCGCGCUUCGUGUCCCUCAUCUCCGCCGAGCCCUCCAUCCAGACCCUGCUCCCCAUGUCCAAGGAGGGCGAGAUCUGCGACGUCAACGGCAAGUGCAUCGACGCCAAGGAGGACAUCAUGUUCACCCUCACCUCCGAGGAUGGCAAGUUCGCCGUGAAGGGUACCCCCGUGGAGACCGAGGUUGCCGGCUUCGAGGGUGUCAUGCAGUUCGAGCAGGACCCCAACCAGAUCCUCGACGCGCUCCU
rnacentral:lncRNA from 1 species